UUCUGGCCUCAAGUGAUCUGUCUGCCUCAGCCUCCCAAAAUACUGGGAUUACAGGUGUGCACCAUCAAGCCUGGCCCCCACUUUGGACUCUUGAAUAACCAGAGGGAACCAUCUUCAUUGGGUUAAGAUGUUGACAUUUGCAGAUUUGUCACUGUAGCCAGCAUUUAUUUGAACUAAAAUAAUCCUCAAGACCAUUUUGGAACAGAUUGGCCAGACUAACCCUGAACAGGCUGCAUAAGGACUACUAUAUGAGAGAGAAACAAACCAUCAUGCUUCUUGCUUUCUCUCUGUUAUUUCCAUGACUCCUGUAAUUCUCAUUUGUUACUUGGAGUUUUCUGCUAUGCACAGAUCAAGCUAAUCCUGAAAGAGAAAGUGACAAGUGCCUUGGUCCUCUUGGUGCUGCCCUCCCUUGCUUCUUGCCCCUGUUUUGGUCCAGUGUGCAACUAACGUAGACCCUGGGGUUUCCCACAAAUGUAGCUUUGCCAGCUUUAACCCUCAGAGGUUCCAAAAUGCCACUUACUCCAAGAAUGCCCUUUGGUGCCUCCAACCCAGGUCACUUCAGGUGAUAAUCCUUCUGCCUGGAAGGGUUGGGCACCCUGAUAUGCAAAAAUCUGCAUUAACUUCACAGAUGACUCAAUUAGUGGGUGAUGACUUACAGGCAGUGUUUAUUACAAUGGCCUUUCUAGUUGUGACAUUUUUAAAAUUUGAUCUCUACAGUUUCCAAAAACACUACUUGACACCUGUGGAUUUAAAAAUGAAAUAGCCUCAGAUACAAAAUAACCUUUCCCCAAUCCAUUCAUUGUAGUUGGAAGCUGGUCUUACUAAUGGCAGGGCGACCAUAACACUUGGUUAUGAACCAGGGUAUUGCCUCCAACCAAGCCUUAACAAUCUCAUCCUCCCUUUAGCCUUCCAUGAUUAGACCUCAACUCGUGAGAACUCUUGCCUUGCUCAUAAGUGGGAGUAAAUGCUCAUAGCUCUAGAAAUCUCCCAGGAACCAGACAUCAUGGAAGCUAGAAAGGCUAAGGGAGUCCAGCCUUCCUCUAAAUUGGCCAACAGUGGAGUGGUGGAAAGAUAACCAGCUGCAAACCAGACAGACCCAAACUUGAAUCUCACCUCUGCCAACCUACCAGGCUGUGGUCCAAAUAGGUUAUACAAGUCUCUACCUCUUCUGGCUGAAGCUAACCUCCCAGGAAAAGGACGAGAGGAGAAAGCCAUCCUGCCUGAUGUGUGUCUCCUGUAAUUUCAACUCGAUGACAUGCAGCCACAUGACCUAAGGCACGUACCUCCAUUCACAGGGUGUGGUCAGUACUCCGUGAAUGUCAGGUGUUCUUUCUGCCCUGUCUCCUGUCCUCCUGGAGCCUGCCCUUACCCAGUGAGUCCCUGGAGAGAACAUUCUAGCAUCUGGCUGUGAGCUGUCACACACAUGGGUUUCUUUCGGUUCCCAGAACGAUGGAAUUCCAGCUCCUGGCUGCCUCCAAGAAGCUUGGAGCAAGACAGGCUUGGCUGUCCCAGAGGAAGAGCCUGGCAUGGGGCCAGGCGGCUCAGGAGGGCAGAUGAGCUCGGUGUCUCCUGUAUACAGACCAGGUCAUCACAGGGACCUGCCUCCGCAUUUGCAUCCUCCGCGGCAUAUUUUCCCAGCACAUGCAGCAUCGGAAACUUGAACGCGUCCCUCUGCUUUUCCUCGUGUGAGACCCACCAACCCCGCGUUAGGAAGGAGCCUGAACAUUUGACGGAGCUUUCCCGUCACCUGUGAGCAACGUUCAGGCUGCUUCCGAAGACAGAGACACCCCCCUGCUGUGUUCUCACAGUGGGACGAUUCAACUUUGUCUUUCUCACAACCCCAGAUAAUCCUAUCUUCCCAGGUUUUGUCAUCUUCACGGACUACUUCAUAUCUAGUUAUGAGUCAAACAAAACCCAGUUUAACUGGUAACUAACCAGCCAUCACGUAUCCCUGAAGAUAAACCUGGUUUAUCCUUUUUAUACCCUCUGGCAGAGCAAAGGAACAAGGAGUUCAGGAAAAACAAAACAAAACAAAACACACACUAGAAACAACACUGACAUAUGUCGUUAAAUACAAAUGUGACCAGCCUUGAUUACAAGUGUUGUUAUCCUCUUUUAACAGGCACCUACCCCGAACUUUCAUUAACCCCUGCUAGCUGAGUAGCAGCUUGUGUAAGUGAGGUGCGGGGAUUUUGUCAAAGCCUGCCUUAGUGUAAAAGGCAGGGCCACCCACCAUGAACUUCUCUCUGUGACUUCAUUCUUUAGCAGUGCUCAAGUGUAAAUAAACUUGUUUACCAGGAUCAGAAUGGCCAUGUUAAUGAAGUCUUAUUUGUGUCACCACAAUGACAUGUAAUUUGUGCACAGUUGGACUCAGAGAGUGGACAAAACCAGAGAAAUUUUAUUUCUGUUCUGAAGUUUCCAUACAGAUGCCUUGGGCCAAAGUUAGUACAGCCAAUAUUUGCCUAUUUCUUUUGAUUGUGUGUCCAUGCUAGAGAAAAACCUUGUUACUGUGCCCAGUGUGGUAAAUGAAAUUAUACUGUAUGCAAUGAGAAGAAAAAUGAAAUAAGAAGCAUUGAUGAAUGUACCCACGGGUGUAACCUUGGUGGCCAGUAUGUGGUUUUUAUGAAACGAAUGCAAGAAUAUGAGGACCCUAAUUAUUGCUUUCAACUGACAGAGUAUGGUGAAUAUAUAGAGAAUGUUGCUGUACAACACUGGCUGUGUCUCAAAGCAGCUUUAGAAGUAAAUAUAGAAAUUCUUGUGUACAUGCUAUUGCAUAGAAAGUCAUUAAGAAAAAAGCAAGACAAUUUGUUAAGACCUUGUUAAGUGGAGCUGGGGUAUGAUUAAUUUUGUUUGUUUGUUUUUGUUGUUCCCUAGUAGAGAUCAACGAAGUACAGACUAUGGGACCAACUGCUGCUUUUGUAAAUAAAACUUUAUUGGAAAAAAGCCACGUU